UUGGCUGAAAUUACCCUUCUGUUUGAAGAUCUGAGUAUGGUGAUGUCUACAAUAAAGGCGAUGUUCAUGUGCCACAUAGUUUGAUGGACUGAUUAUACAACCUCCAUGUGUGCACCUGAAGCAAUUCUUAUGUUUAUGAUGAAUUCUAAUCCACCACAUGAUCCUUGGUAGAAGAUGAAAUGGCUACAGAAAGAAGUUCGAGGAAUACAAGGAGGAAGGGACAAAAAUAAGUGACAUCUUAUUUGUUGAUCUAAGUUGAGUCCCACGUCGGUUAAAGUAUAGAUGUGGGUGUGUUGACGAUGUUAUAAAUAAAGAGGAAUUACCGAGUGAAGCUUAUAUUCACUAAUUUCAAAAAAAAUGAAUGAUAUUUAUAGCAUUAUUUUAUAGCAAUAGUUUGGACAACUUUUUGGCGAGUUUUAGUAUGAUUGCCCCUUUUGUUUUAUUUGAUAUUAGUUGUACACCUUGCA